rnacentral:lncRNA from 1 species
GGGAAAUAUGGACCCUGAUAGAGGCUACACAUCAAAUCCUUCUUCCCAUGAUGCAAGUCUUCACAGAAGACAAAACCAAUGCAUGGAGCAGGCAAACGUCAAGGAACAGAAAUUGUCAAUGCCUUUGAAAUCUUAUGGGGAAAUUACACUCCAAAGUAGAAUCUUAUCCCAGCUAAGAAGGCCUCCUGAUGGGUAAGCAACAACUUUUCAGUCUUUAGGCAAGUUCUCAGGAGCCCAUCAAUCUGCCAAUUAGAAGAAAAAGCAAAAGGACCAGCAGGAGUCAGGGCUGCACGGAAACAGCUACCAUCCCAUAAAAUUAUUGCCUUUACCAAAUUGGAAUAAACCUGUCAAGACGA